CGAACGCUGGCGGCAGGCUUAACACAUGCAAGUCGAACGGGCACCUUCGGGUGUCAGUGGCAGACGGGUGAGUAACACGUGGGAACGUACCCUUCGGUUCGGAAUAACUCAGGGAAACUUGAGCUAAUACCGGAUACGCCCUUUUGGGGAAAGGUUUACUGCCGAAGGAUCGGCCCGCGUCUGAUUAGCUUGUUGGUGGGGUAACGGCCUACCAAGGCGACGAUCAGUAGCUGGUCUGAGAGGAUGAUCAGCCACACUGGGACUGAGACACGGCCCAGACUCCUACGGGAGGCAGCAGUGGGGAAUAUUGGACAAUGGGCGCAAGCCUGAUCCAGCCAUGCCGCGUGAGUGAUGAAGGCCUUAGGGUUGUAAAGCUCUUUUGUCCGGGACGAUAAUGACGGUACCGGAAGAAUAAGCCCCGGCUAACUUCGUGCCAGCAGCCGCGGUAAU
rnacentral:rRNA from 1 species